rfam:Cavia porcellus supercont2_0 genomic scaffold, whole genome shotgun sequence.
GGGGAUUUAGCUCAGUGGCAUAAGCACCUGCCUUGCAAGCAGUCAGUUGUGAGUUCGAUCCCCA